rnacentral:rRNA from 1 species
UACAGAGGUGGCAAGCGUUGUUCGGAAUUACUGGGCGUAAAGAGUGUGUAGGCGGUGUUCCCAGUCUGUUGUGAAAUCUCCCGGCUUAACUGGGAGGGUGCAGCGGAAACUAGAAUGCUAGAGGGUGGGAGAGGUAAGCGGAAUUCCUGGUGUAGCGGUGAAAUGCGUAGAUAUCAGGAAGAACACCGGUGGCGAAGGCGCUCUGCUAGGCCGCAACUGACACUGAGGGACGAAAGCUAGGGGAGCGAAUGGG